rnacentral:rRNA from 1 species
GAUGAACGCUGGCGGCGUGCCUAAUACAUGCAAGUCGAGCGAACAGAUAAGGAGCUUGCUCCUUUGACGUUAGCGGCGGACGGGUGAGUAACACGUGGGUAACCUACCUAUAAGACUGGAAUAACUCCGGGAAACCGGGGCUAAUGCCGGAUAACAUUUAGAACCGCAUGGUUCUAAAGUGAAAGAUGGUUGUGCUAUCACUUAUAGAUGGACCCGCGCCGUAUUAGCUAGUUGGUAAGGUAACGGCUUACCAAGGCAACGAUACGUAGCCGACGUGAGAGGGUGAUAGGCGACACUGGAACUGAGCCACGGUCAAGACUACUACGGAAGGCAGCAGUAGGGAAUCUUCCGCAAUGGGCGAAAGCCUGACGGAGCAACGCCGCGUGAGUGAUGAAGGUCUUCGGAUCGCAAAACUCUGUUAUUAGGGAAGAACAAAUGUGUAAGUAACUGUGCACGUCUUGACGGUACCUAAUCAGAAAGCCACGGCUAACUACGUG